rnacentral:rRNA from 1 species
AUUGAACGCUGGCGGCAUGCUUUACACAUGCAAGUCGAACGGCAGCGCGGGCUUCGGCCUGGCGGCGAGUGGCGAACGGGUGAGUAAUGCACCGGAACGUGCCCAGUAGUGGGGGAUAGCCCGGCGAAAGCCGGAUUAAUACCGCAUACGACCUGAGGGUGAAAGCGGGGGACCGAAAGGCCUCGCGCUAUUGGAGCGGCCGAUGUCGGAUUAGCUAGUUGGUGGGGUAAAGGCUUACCAAGGCGACGAUCCGUAGCUGGUCUGAGAGGACGACCAGCCACACUGGGACUGAGACACGGCCCAGACUCCUACGGGAGGCAGCAGUGGGGAAUUUUGGACAAUGGGGGCAACCCUGAUCCAGCCAUGCCGCGUGCGGGAAGAAGGCCUUCGGGUUGUAAACCGCUUUUGUUCGGGAAGAAAUCCUCUGGGCUAAUACCCCGGGGGGAUGACGGUACCGGAAGAAUAAGCACCGGCUAACUACGUG